rnacentral:lncRNA from 1 species
GGCGAAAGAGCCGUGGGACCAGUGUUUAGCCCUGUAGGAGUAAAGGGAAGAAGGAUGCCUGCUGGGGCGAGCCGGAGACCGCGAUUGUGGAGCCGUACGGGCUUUUCUAUGCAAAGGACUCGGACGUCGUCUGUGUAUUUUGCUUUCUUGAGUUGUUGUUGUUGUUGUUGUUCCUAACUUUGGAGUUGGGUCUGACCUCCCGGGGAGCAUGGACUGAGCCGAGGCGGGGGAGGUGGCAGCAGAACCCGGAAGCCGCCCUGGCCCCCCCCCCCCAGCGCGCUCUCACAUCCGUGCCCACCGGCGUGCACACGCUCGAGGCCAGUCAGUGUGGACCCCGACCCGCGCCGAGCCUGAUGGAGGCGGGAGCCGCCACUCGGACAGAUGCACAAGCAGCAGACAUGAAUAUAGGCUCAUUCCCCCAUAGCCAUGGACACUCUCCAAAUCCAUAAGUGGUUUCUGCAAGAUUGGAAAACAAAGGAAGAAGAGAGGACGGCGCGGGCCCUGGCAGGGGUCUCGGAGAGCAAGCGGCUCUGGAUGCGGAGCGUCGGCGGAGGCCUGGCCUGGGGGAGGAUGCUGUUGGGGGUGGGGGGACGAACCAGCGCGAGGAGCACCGCCUAAUCCAGCCGGAGCUCGUGGGCCGCGGGUGCAUUUAUCAUCCCAUUACUGUAACAAAUCCGGGCUCCACUACAUGAAAGGUAAAAUGAAUUACCGACGUUAAGCCGUCAAUAAAGUCAUUUCUGUAAAUGGUGUCUCCAAAGGGCCGCCGCAUUAUUCAGCUGGCUUUAUCAGCUGGCUGGAAAUUACGUGGAGGAGCCGGGCCGCGCGGCGCGCGGGGCCGCUCACUUUGAUUAAGCGUCUUGCCAGCGCGAUGUGACAGAGCUUUUGACCAGGGUUUUAUUCACAGGCCUGUGAUGAACGCCAAGCUGAUCAGGCGGAAUGAAGAGUAAUUAAAACCUAUAAAUUAUCUUCCGCAGCCCUUCUCGAGGCGUCUCCUGCAGGCGAGAUAAGGCGUCGAGACCCUAUUUACGGCGCUGAAAGGGACCGCGGCGCACAAAAGCUACGCGGCUAAAUAGGAUAUUGAUAGUGUCCUAAUUAGAAUUUAAUUAAGUACCCACGCUCGCUUGCGGGAUAAAGAUUUCAAUUUUGC